UGGGGAAUCUUGCACAAUGGGCGAAAGCCUGAUGCAGCAACGCCGCGUGAGCGAUGAAGGCCUUUGGGUCGUAAAGCUCUGUCCUUGGGGAAGAAAAAAAUGACGGUACCCAAGGAGGAAGCCCCGGCUAACUACGUGCCAGCAGCCGCGGUAAUACGUAGGGGGCAAGCGUUAUCCGGAAUUAUUGGGCGUAAAGAGUACGUAGGUGGUCUUUUAAGCGCAGGGUUUAAGGCAAUGGCUCAACCAUUGUUCGCCCUGUGAACUGGAAGACUUGAGUGCAGGAGAGGAAAGCGGAAUUCCUAGUGUAGCGGUGAAAUGCGUAGAUAUUAGGAGGAACACCAGUGGCGAAGGCGGCUUUCUGGACUGUAACUGACACUGAGGUACGAAAGCGUGGGGAGCAAACA
rnacentral:rRNA from 1 species